UAAUUAGCUCAGUCGGUAGAGCACUCGGCUGUUAACCGAUAGGUCGUAGGUUCGAGUCCUACAUUAG
rnacentral:tRNA from 4 species